rnacentral:rRNA from 1 species
CCUACGGGAGGCAGCAGUGGGGAAUAUUGCACAAUGGGCGAAAGCCUGAUGCAGCAACGCCGCGUGAAGGAAGACGGUUUUCGGAUUGUAAACUUCUAUCAAUAGGGAAGAAAGAAAUGACGGUACCUAAAUAAGAAGCCCCGGCUAACUACGUGCCAGCAGCCGCGGUAAUACGUAGGGGGCAAGCGUUAUCCGGAUUUAUUGGGUUUAAAGGGUGCGCAGGCGGAAGAUCAAGUCAGCGGUAAAAUUGAGAGGCUCAACCUCUUCGAGCCGUUGAAACUGGUUUUCUUGAGUGAGUGAGAAGUAUGCGGAAUGCGUGGUGUAGCGGUGAAAUGCAUAGAUAUCACGCAGAACUCCGAUUGCGAAGGCAGCAUACCGGCGCUCAACUGACGCUCAUGCACGAAAGUGUGGGUAUCGAACAGGAUUAGAUACCCCAGUAGUC